UGAAGGUCGAGUUUUUGAGGAAACUGAAUUUAUUUUGUGCUGAAGAGUUUUCUUUGGGAGUGCGGAGUGCACAGCAACCUUUGUGGACAAGUCUUUAAAGAAUAUUUUAUUGCUCAAGCCUGAGGCACACGCGCAUGGAGCUCCUUCAAUAAUUCAAGUGAAAUUGAAUUUUCAGCAGACAAUUAGACAACAUUUCUAAAGUUUUUAUAUUCUAAUUAUCAAUUUAAUGGAUUUUUCAUAAAAAAUGCGAACUUAUAGUAAAUACUGGCAUGUA